UCGGACUGUAGUCUGCAACCCGACUACACGAAGCUGGAAUCGCUAGUAAUCGCGAAUCAGAAUGUCGCGGUGAAUACGUUCCCGGGUCUUGUACACACCGCCCGUCACACCAUGGGAGUCGGAAAUGCCCGAAGCCGGUGACCCAACCCGAAAGGGAGGGAGCCGUCGAAGGCAGGUCGGAUGACUGGGGUGAAGUCGUAACAAGGUAGC
rnacentral:rRNA from 1 species